UACGUAGGGGGCGAGCGUUGUCCGGAAUCACUGGGCGUAAAGAGCUCGUAGGCGGUUCAGUAAGUCGGCUGUGAAAUUCCGAGGCUCAACCUCGGAACUGCAGUCGAUACUGCUGUGACUCGAGUCCGGUAGAGGAGAAUGGAAUUCCCGGUGUAGCGGUGAAAUGCGCAGAUAUCGGGAGGAACACCAGUAGCGAAGGCGGUUCUCUGGGCCGGUACUGACGCUGAGGAGCGAAAGCGUGGGGAGCAAACAGG
rnacentral:rRNA from 1 species